rnacentral:lncRNA from 12 species
AUGGAGCCAAAAAAAAAAAAAAAAAAGAAAAGAAAAGAAAAGAAAAAAACAGCCGAUGUGCAGCUUCCUUUCCGAGGUACAUGUAGAGGCUGGAAAAUCUGGAUUGUUACAGGCACGCUGCCCUGGGCCUGGAGCUGGGCUGCGCCGGGGCCUGGCGUCCCGUGUGCUGCCAACGUGCAGCCUCACCUUCCCUUACCCACCUGGAAAGCCACGUGGAAGCCACAAUGGCCCCUGAGCGUCCUAGGAGAGCAGAGGGUGGAGAGGAGAGGCAGGCAGCCUCGAAGGAACCGGGGUUUGGGUUUCUUCAACACCGAGUUUGUGGCUGUUGAGAGUAUCCCCGGGAGCCCUCAACUCAGGCUCCCCAGCCUUGUGCCACCGGCGCGGCUGCCUCGCGCCCAGCACCCGGCCAUCCUGGAAUCCCCUACUUCCCCACGCCCUCUCUGGACAAAGAAUCUCUUUUCCCAUCGCCGGAGCAAAAGGACCCCCUGGAGCAGAAAAUUUGGAAAAUUGAAAAAAUAUGAAGAAGGAAAUAAAGAUGACCUGAUGAUCCACCACACAAGGUUACCAGUGCUAACAUUUUGGCAUUUGUCCUUCCUGUUUUUGCAGAAUUACACCUGCGUUUGAAAAGCAUAAUUGGGACUGUAGUGUGAACUUUGUUUUACAACUUUCUCCUUUUAUGCACAGCGGUAUUGUAAAUGUCCUCACAUCCCUAUGCACAUCUAUGAUGUUGGUAAUCACACAGCCCUAUGUUGGGAGCUCCUUAUUUGACUUGACCUACAUGUUAUGAUCAGACACCAUUGUUCCCACCUCUGUCUGGCAUCCUCCUCUUAGGAUGAACUACCUGGUAGCUAAAUCUCUGUGCAAAGAUCAGGAAAAGUCCUCUUGCAAAUCCUUUUAGAUGCCCAGUCGCUAAGUCAAAGCUUAUAAUCACGAAUCUUUCUUGUAUACCUCUUUUUCUCUUUACAUGUUUUUCAUAACUAAGUAGUAAAUGAAUGACCCAAGGAUAAUCUCUCAUAUCCAAGAUGCAUAAAAAAAAAACGCAGCUCAACAGCAACAAACCCAAUUAAGAAGUGGGGAAAGGAUUUGCAUGGACUUUGCUGCAGAGAUGAUAUUCAAAUGACUGAUAAACACAUGAAAAGAUGCUCAGCAUCGCUAAUCAUGGGGGAAAUGCAAAGCAAAAUCACAAUGAAAUGCCACUUCACACUUACUAAGGUGGCUAUUAUUGAAAAACAAAACCAAAAACAAAACCCAGAAAAUAACAAGCAUUGGUGAGGAUGUGAAGAAAUUGCAGCCCUCACGCGUUCUAGUAGGAAUGUAGCCCAGUUGUGGUGGAGAACAACAUUGGUUCCUUGAAACAUUAAACACAGAGUUAUAGGACUCCUAUGUAUACACCCAAAAGAACUGCAAGCAGGGAUUCUAGGCAGAUAGUUACACAUCCACGUUCCUAAGUUACAGUAUCCUAGACAAAAAGUGGAAAUAGCCCAAAUGUCCGUCAACAGAUGAAUGGAGAAACCUCGUAAAUAAAUACAGUGCUGGGGCAGCCCA